GAUGAACGCUGGCGGCGUGCUUAACACAUGCAAGUCGAACGGAAAGGCUCCUGCUUGCAGGGGUACUCGAGUGGCGAACGGGUGAGUAACACGUGGGUGAUCUGCCCUGCACUUCGGGAUAAGCCUGGGAAACUGGGUCUAAUACCGGAUAGGACCACAUUUUGGAUGGUGUGGUGGAAAGUUUUUCGGUGUGGGAUGAGCUCGCGGCCUAUCAGCUUGUUGGUGGGGUAAUGGCCUACCAAGGCGUCGACGGGUAGCCGGCCUGAAAGGGUGUACGGCCACAUUGGGACUGAGAUACGGCCCAGACUCCUACGGGAGGCAGCAGUGGGGAAUAUUGCACAAUGGGCGCAAGCCUGAUGCAGCGACGCCGCGUGGGGGAUGACGGCCUUCGGGUUGUAAACUCCUUUCGCUAGGGACGAAGCGCAAGUGACGGUACCUGGAGAAGAAGCACCGGCUAACUACGUG
rnacentral:rRNA from 1 species